GACCCUCGCUUCCGCCAUGGGAACCACCCACAACACACUACCAGAUUAUGGGACUUACGCCCCUUCGUGCUCUGCAUAUAUGCCCAUGAAGGGUUCACCGAGCACCACAACCUUCCGUGCAGAACGUGCCACAGUAGAAGGCACGACAAUUCCGAGGGAUCCCCGCAACAAACCAACUCUGCACUGUGAGGCCAGGCCGGCACCUCAACAGAACACUUUCCCGAGGGACAAGGCGACAGGAGAAACAUUGCUGAUUGAUUCGACCACGACCGCCCCAUGGCUCCAACCGUGUUGAACAGCCCAGGGUGCACUUCCGGAUGCUUGGGAACUUGACCCAUGCAUGGUGCUGCGGAUACGCCCAAGAAGGGUUCACCGAGCACCACAACCUUCCGUGAACAACGGGCCUCGGUAGAAGCAACGACAAUUCCGAGGGAUCCCCGCAACAAACCAACCCUGCACUGUGAGGCCAGGCCGGCACCUCGACAGAACACUUUUCCGAGGGACAAGGCGACAGGAGAAACAUUGCUGAUUGAUUCGACCACGUCCGCCCCAUGGCUCCAACCGUGUUGAACAGCCCAGGGUGCACUUCCGGAUGAUUGGGAACUUGACCCAUGGUGCUGCGGCUACGCCCAUGAAGGGUUCACCGAGCACCACAACCUUCCGUGCAGAACGGGCCACAGUAGAAGCCACGACAAUUCCGAGGGAUCCCCGCAACAAACCAACUCUGCACUGUGAGGCCAGGCCGGCACCUCAACAGAACACUUUCCCGAGGGACAAGGCGACAGGAGAAACAUUGUUGAUUGAUUCGACCACGACCGCCCCAUGGCUCCAACCGUGUUGAACCGCCCAGGGUGCACUUCCGGAUGCUUGGGAACUUGACCCUUCGUGCCUGAAGAUAUUACCAAAACCAUCCGUGCAGAUCAGGCCACACAUGAACACACGACAAUUCCGAGGUAUCCGCAACAACCCAUCUCGGCACUGUGAGGCCAGGCAGGCACCUCAACAGCGCACACUUUUCCGAGGGACAGGCAACAGGGGACACGUUGCUGAUGGCCUCAACCACAAACGCGCCAUGGCCUCAACCAUGUUCAACCGCCAAAAGUGCACUUCCGGAUGCUUGGAAACUUGCCCCUUCGUGCUACGGCCAUGCCCAUUAGAGCAACACCUAGCGCCACAUCCUUCCGUGCAGAACGGGUCACACGAGAAGCCUCGGCACGUCCGAGGGAUGCCCACAACUACCCAUCUCGGCACUGUGAGGCCAGGCCGGCACCUCAACAGAGCACACAUUUCCGAGGGACGAGGCGACUGCAGAGACGAUGCUGAUGGCCUCAACCACUACCGCGCCAUGGCCUCAACCAUGUUCAACCGCCAAAAGUGCACUUCCGGAUGCUUGGACACUUGCCCCUUCGUGCUACGGCUAUGCCCAUUAAGGCAACACCUAGCGCCACAUCCUUCCGUGCAGAACGGUCCACACGAGAAGCCUCGGCACGUCCGAGGGAUGCCCACAACUACCCAUCUCGACACUGUGAGGCCGGGCCGGCACCUCAACAGAGCACACAUUUCCGAGGGACGAGGCGACUGGAGAGACGUUGCUGAUUGCUUCAACCUUGGCCUUGCCUCGGCUUCGACCGUGCUGAACCGCCCAGAGUGCACUUCCGGAUGUUUGGGAACUUGCCCCUCAGUGCUACGGAUAUGCCACUGAAGGGAACGCGUAGACCCACAUCCUUCCGUGCCGAACGGGUCACACUAGAAGCAUCGGCGCGUCCAAGGGAUGCGCACAACCACCCAUCUCCGCACUGUGAGGCCAGGCCGGCACCUCAACAGAGAACACUUUUCCGAGGGACGAGGCGACUGGAGAGACGUUGCUGAUUGCUUCAACCAUGGCCUUGCCUUGGCUUCGACCGCGUUGAACCGCCCAGAGUGCACUUCCGGAUGUUUGGGAACUUGCCCCUCAGUGCUACGGAUAUGCCACUGAAGGGAACGCGUAGACCCACAUCCUUCCGUGCCGAACGGGUCACACUAGAAGCCUCGGCGCGUCCGAGGGAUGCGCACAACUACCCAUCUCGGCACUGUGAGGCCAGGCCGGCACCUCAACAGAGCACACUUUUCCGAGGGACGAGGCGACUGGAGAGACGUUGCUGAUCGCGUCAAACACGGCCGCGCCUUGGCUUCGACCAUGAUGAACCGCCCAUAGUGCACUUCCGGAUGAUUGGGAACUUGCCCCCUUCGUGCUAAGGAUAUGCCCGUGAAGGCUUCACCUAGCGCCACAACCUUCCGUGCGGAACGGGUCACACUGGAUGCCUCGGCACGUCCGAGGGAUGACCGCAACUACCCACUGUGAUGCCAGACCGGCACCUCGACCAAAGGGACGAAGGCAUCAAGAUUUUUGACUUGGACCUUGAGGAACAAGCAAAGAACUUGCUGCACGCCAAAUGUGUCAUGGUGCCGGAUAAGCUCACUACGAGAUGCCCACAUUUUUCCGUUGGACCAGCCAGAACCGGGACACGUACGACCUGGAUUCGGCGUGGACUAUUUUUGACUCGGUCGAAUUUCCCACAUGGCCAUGGAAAAACGCACCAGCAUGCUUGGGAAAGCUUGCUGGGGCGCUGGGAGGGAGCCCCAUGGCACGCCAUCCUGACCCACCAAGGUGCGUGGGCAGGCAGGCAGCUCCCCCCUAUAGUAGGCUAAUAUGCAAAAACCCACUCUCCAGCACCGGACAUCCUUUUUUCUGGGGAGACAUACUCGGUUUUUCUGAGGCUACGGGUCGAAUUUUGACCUGAUUUUUUGCACAAGUGCUUAUAGAAAUGGGACAUAGUGCUCCACAAAGUUUCACGAUUUUUCUCCUAGCCGAUAUUAUUUCAUGAUUUUUCCAGCCGGCGAGCAUUUUAUAAUUCCAGAAAAUUGGAAAAUCAGUGUGGGACAUGUUUCUGGAGCUCUUCUCUUUGCAGGCAACCAUGGCUAAACAAUUCGAAGUUGGCCUCCAAAUUUGGUGCCAUUUUCAUGAAGGGGUCGGCGCCUUACCAUGCUUUCACCGAAAUAGGGAAUGCAAGUGAAGCAAAAAAAACUCACACGAGGCACGGGACAUGCCCAUGGGCCACUUUCGCCUUCACCUAGGACCGCUCGGGACACAUGUGCCAUGGCUUGGGUCAAUUUCACCUAGGACCACUCGGGACACAUUUCGCAUGGCAUCAAUUACCCCUAAUGGCACUCGUGCAGGUCCAAUCAUGGCCUCUCUUUCAGCUAGCAUUAGGAAAGUGUGUCACGGCCUCAAUUUCACCUAGCACUCGGACACAUGUGUCAUGUCCUCAAUGUCACCGAGCACGUGUAAUGUCCUCACUUCCUCCGAGCACGUUUGUCAUUCCCGCACUUCACCUAGCACUCGGGAUCACGCACGAGGAACCACACCCCAUG